rnacentral:rRNA from 1 species
UACGAAGGGGGGCUAGCGUUGCUCGGAAUCACUGGGCGUAAAGCGCACGUAGGCGGAUUGCUAAGUCAGGGGUGAAAUCCUGGAGCUCAACUCCAGAACUGCCUUUGAUACUGGCGAUCUUGAGUCCGGAAGAGGUGAGUGGAACUCCUAGUGUAGAGGUGGAAUUCGUAGAUAUUAGGAAGAACACCAGUGGCGAAGGCGGCUCACUGGUCCGGUACUGACGCUGAGGUGCGAAAGCGUGGGGAGCAAACAGG